CCCGCCGCAGCCGCACAGGACAAGGCUGGAGGCGGUGCCCGGGGCCGUCCCGGGGAAGGAGGCCGCCUGCCACAAGCAGCGCAGGAGCCCGGCACUUCUGACCUCCGUACCUCUUGGAGCCGGCUUUCCUGAUCGCAUCGGCUGGAGGAGGAGGGCGCUUCAGAUCGUCAGCAUGGACAGCCUUCAAGGAGACGCACCCCAACAGAGUCUGGGCAGGCCUGAAACAUCUAGGGGAUCCUUGGGGAUCCAUCGCCCUGGGCAUCCCUGAAGAUCCCCUGGACGUUUUCUCAGCCUGGUUCCGCCAAGCCGGACUCCGGAAAUCGCGGGACCGUGGCGACGAUCGCGGUGGGGUGGGGUAC
ensembl:lincRNA